UACGUAGGUGGCAAGCGUUGUCCGGAAUUAUUGGGCGUAAAGCGCGCGCAGGCGGUCCUUUAAGUCUGAUGUGAAAGCCCACGGCUCAACCGUGGAGGGUCAUUGGAAACUGGGGGGACUUGAGUACAGAAGAGAAGAGUGGAAUUCCACGUGUAGCGGUGAAAUGCGUAGAGAUUUGGAGGAACACCAGUGGCGAAGGCGACUUUCUGGUCUGUAACUGACACUGAGGCGCGAAAGCGUGGGGAGCGAACAGG
rnacentral:rRNA from 1 species